GUGAAUCAUCGAAUCUUUGAACGCAAAUUGCACUCUCCGGUUUUCCGGGAGAGUAUGCCUGUUUGCGGGUCUGUUUAAAAAAUAAUCGAGGCUGCUGCUGUGGUUGCUCUUCGGAAUUGGGCCAUCUUUCACCUUUCGGUUGUAAGCGACCUAACAUUUUUUUUACGAUUUCUACGAACGUUUCCAAUAAUUUCCUGUACGUUCACGACAUCGAAAA
rnacentral:misc_RNA from 1 species